GUUCUCCAGGGCAGAUCUUCCGAGCGACCCACCCUAUGUUAGAAAUAGGAAAAUCCAAUAAUAACAACACUAGAAAAAAAAUGAAAAAAUGAGGCAACUUUGAUCACGCAUGCUCCCUUGUCAUACACAACAUUUGCUCUAAAGUUGGAAAGUCGCGGAAAAGCCAGGAAGUAACGUUACAGUAAGCCAAUCAGCUGAGGGGAAGCAUCUCGUGUUUAAAAUGCCUGUGAUAUCCAAGAGAAGGUGUAUCAGAUUCCAUGCGGUGCAGUUUGGACCUAUAAGGGGAUGUUUAAAGAAUAAAAACCUAGGUGCGGCAGUGCAGGGAUUUCUGAAAAGAUGAAAGGCGUGCGGCUAUCAAAGAUCUUUAUCCUUCCUGCUGCUUGAAAUGAGACUGACAAACGACUGUAUUCUAAAAUUACACAGUGAUAAAUGACUGUACAUAGACAGCCUAUAGAUUUCAAAUAGCUUCUGCCAAACAAGAUUGAAACAAAAUUUAAAGUAAAUUCAUUCAGCUGUGCAAUUUUUUUUUU